rnacentral:rRNA from 1 species
ACAGCAGUAGCCGCGGGAAUACGGAGGGUGCAAGCGUUAAUCGGAAUUACUGGGCGUAAAGCGCACGCAGGCGGUCUGACAAGUCAGAUGUGAAAUCCCCGGGCUUAACCUGGGAACUGCAUUUGAAACUGUCAGGCUGGAGUCUUGUAGAGGGGGGUAGAAUUCCAGGUGUAGCGGUGAAAUGCGUAGAGAUCUGGAGGAAUACCGGUGGCGAAGGCGGCCCCCUGGACAAAGACUGACGCUCAGGUGCGAAAGCGUGGGGAGCAAACAGGAUUAGAUACCCCUGUAGUCCCUGUCUCUUAUAU